GCGGAGACCAUUUAGUUUCCGUUCACUCCUCACACCACACUCCGCCCGGACUACUGUUCGGGCGGUU
rnacentral:sRNA from 1 species